GCUUACGGCCAUACCACCCUGAGAACGCCCGAUCUCGUCUGAUCUCGGAAGCUAAGCAGGGUCGGACCUGGUUAGUACUUGGAUGGGAGACCGCCUGGGAAUACGAGGUGCUGUAAGCU
ensembl:rRNA 5S_rRNA 5S ribosomal RNA